UACGUAGGGGGCAAGCGUUGUCCGGAUUUAUUGGGCGUAAAGAGCGUGUAGGCGGCUUGGUAGGUCCGCUGUGAAAACUCGAGGCUCAACCUCGAGAUGUCGGCGGAAACCACUUGGCUAGAGUCCGGAAGAGGAGAGUGGAAUUCCCGGUGUAGCGGUGAAAUGCGCAGAUAUCGGGAAGAACACCUAUGGCGAAGGCAGGUCUCUGGGCAUUAACUGACGCUGAGGAGCGAAAGCAUGGGGAGCGAACAGG
rnacentral:rRNA from 1 species